CAAGUAGACUGGGUAGUUACGCGGCAGACAUUUGCCGCGAGGAAAGUCCGGGCUCCACAGGGCAGAGUGCUGGUUAAUGGCCAGUCGGGGCAACCCGAAGGAAAGUGCCACAGAGACAUACCGCCAUUUAGAUUGCAUCAAAAUGGCAAGGGUGAAAAGGUGAGGUAAGAGCUCACCAGCGGCCUGGUGACAGGCACGGCUAGGUAAACCCCACUUGGAGCAAGACCUAAUAGGGGAGAGUUAAGAGCUGCCCGCUCGUUCUCCCGGGUUGGUCGCAACCGGCGCGUUAGCGCCAGCGAGACUGAUGGCAACAUCAGCCCUAGAUAGAUUACUACCACCGCUCUCGCGGUACAGAACCCGGCUUACAGGUCUACUUGACAC
rnacentral:RNase_P_RNA from 1 species